GGAAGUUGCCAUCCUUGUUCUACCCCCAAAACACAUUCAAACGCAAAUCACAGCUGAUGAAAUUUCCAUUUUUGCCAUUUGACCUUUCGGCUUGUCCCGUCAGGGCUCGCCACAACGCGUCAUCUUCGAUAUUUGUCUGGCACAGUUUCACGCCGGAUGCCCUACUUGACGCAACGCCUCAGCAUUUAGCCGGGGAGAGAAGCUUACAGUGCUCGGUAUUCCCAAGCGGUCUCCCAGGACCGAACUCGGUUAGCUUCCGAGAUCUGACGAGAUCGGGCGUUCUCGGGGUCGCAUGGCCGCAAACUUGCCAUUUGGAAAAAAACGAAGAACAUAAACAAAGGUUGCUAACGCUUCAACCUUGGCGGACGGUGUAAGGUCGAUGGCUUUCUUUCUUUAUCUAUGUUCUUUCCAUCCCUUCAUCAUUGCCCUCUUUUUGGCUUGCUUCGCUUCCCCUUCUGCCUCUCUCUCUCGCUUUUAAUCUCUAUUUUGGACCUCAGAGAGGGAGGGAGGGAGAGGUUGCGGGGUGGGGGGGCUGACUGAAAGGGUGACCCCUCUUCUUGUCUCGCUUCGAGUUCCGCUACAAAGUGAAGUUAACCACCUCGGACCGGACUCCGAGCGAAAAGUUGGACCAAAACUUUGCAAACUAUCCACAAGAAUCAAAGAAGGAUGAAGGUUGCGGUUUAUUUUUAGAAACAGCUGCGAUCCGGCCAGCUUCCAAAGUUUUUAUAUUUUCAUUUUUUUUUUUUUUUUUUUUUUGAAAGCUGCUGGGCUAGCUUUACUUUCCGGAUUUAAUGAAUGACUUCCACGCCGGUGUCUAUGGUAACAGCGCACUGGCCAAGUGACUGAUGGUUAUCGCGGAACGCCAAGCAAGCUCCAAGUCCAAGCUGCCCUCUCCGCCAAUGAGGAGCCAGACCAGCGGCGCGGACGCGGCGCCUCCGCCGCCAGCCAAUCAGAAGACGGUUUUGGACGACGUGAUCCUGACCUUCAGCUCGCCGAUGGCGUGGCUGCUGGUGGCGGCGCUGGUCAUCACCUGGACGGCCGUGGCCGUCGUGCUCUUCGACCUCCUCGACUACAAGACGCUAGCGGGUAGCCAAAACCUCUUCGUUCGCUUUCCACAGUCGUCGUCACCUCAUCCAAAUAAGUUGAUAACAACUGAAAACCUUUCAUCCAAAAUUUCACUCCAGCGUUCAUAUUUAAUAAGAACAUUUUCAAUGUCAGCUUCGACACUUUUGAGGCAAACUUCAAAAGUGGACGUCAUCAUUUUCAACAUCGCAUGUCACACGAGUCUUUUUUUUUUUUCCGUUUUACAUUUAAAUUUCAGGGUUCCAAAGAACGGGUAAAUGUGAAUAUAAUUUUUUUUUCAGGAUUAAAAAAAAAUGUAAACAUGAAAUUUUUACAUACAACAUUAUUAAAUCUGUACAAAUCAACAUUCCUGUUUUAUAACAAAUUAUAUUAUCUGUGUUUUAA